AAAAUGGCAGAAAUGUAAAAGCUAAAAUCUGCUAGUUGCCCUACUUUCUUUUCCUAUAAAGACAUCUCUAUCUUGCUUUCCAACGAAGGGAAUUAGGAGAUAAAAUCUGAGAGAUUAGACCUUAAAGGGCUUUAGGAGAAAAAUUUCAGGAAAAAUAAAAAAUAACUGGAAAAUUUACUAAAAUCACUGUUUCAUUGAAAUUCAUUCUGUGAUUUCUCAAGUUUUCAAUUUCUGAAAUGAGUUCUGAUCUACCUGGGGAUGAAAUAGUUUGAGUUUGGUGGUUCAAAAGUUGGUUUGAAGUUUUGGUUGUUGAUUUUUGAUUGCUGCACAUCAGUCUUUGGUUUAAAGUUAGUUCUGAGGUUUAUUUCUCCUGCUGGCUACUGUUGUUGCUACUGAUCUUACCCAUUUUUUACUUUCAUUUUCAAGUAUUUCCUUAUUCCAGCAGCACUGAUUGAAUGUUGAUUAUGUAAAUAAAGUGGAAAGUGUUUGCCAUAGUUUCUCUCUGUUUCUCUCUUACUGUUUAAAUACCAUGUAGUAGACUUGUAAUGGUAGGUCUUAAAUGAGCCGGUACUGGUAUAUUAUAAAACUGGGUUUGUGUUUUAGUUAAUUGUCUAGUUUCAAUAUUAAAAAGCAUGUUUAGAAGGUGUAUGAGUAGGUUUGUAGACUAUUUGUAUGGCAAAUGAAUCAUGAGCCUCAACUAUUCAGUUUUAUUUUGAUUUUGUGUUCUUGGUCGCAUAUUUUUUGCUUAAGUUUCUACCGAAAAUCAGUAAGGUUUAGUUCAAAUGUUUAUCUGAAUCCAUUGAUGGUUAGGUGUUUGGUUUGUAUGUGUGUUGAUGUUGUUUUAUAAGCAUGUUUAUGCAUGAGCCUAUGGUUUGAGAUCAUGUUUGUUCAUUAGGCCCGUUUACAAAUUUCCAUUUAUCAUUCACACGGGUUAAGCCAAGGUUUGAAUGAAUUUGAAGUAGCCUGAGUGUUCUUGCGAAGUUAGUUAAAUCCGUGGUUCCAUCAUGUUUACUCAUGAGCCAUAAUGAACUAGUGAUUGUUUGAUUUAGGAACAUUUGGUCAAAUUAGUCCAUGUUAAGGCAAUUUGCACAUGUGGAAGUCAAAUGGGAAUUUGUGCAUACGUCUUUAGGCUCAGAUUCUAAUUGGUUUUGCCUUGUGUCAGUUUGUUGAAGAUAGGUGUUACUUCAGAUCCCUUUCUUCUUUUCUUUCACAAUAAAUUAAAUAAAAGUGAUAAAACAAGAUUUGGGUAACACCUAGUCCCACAUCUGGACCAGUUCCCUUUAAAAGAAACCCGUGAUUUUCAGACCAAUGCUAAGUUUAAAUCCCUUUCCCCAAGCCGUUUGGUAAAUAAGGCGUCAUGUAUACAUGGAUUGGAACAGUGCAAAUAGAAUACCAUUGGUUGGAAAUUCAUGUUUCUUUUAAAUGGAUCAUGAUUGUAGUUUAACUAGGGAGAACCAUAGUAGAUGAACGACUAGAUUAUGGCCCUCAACGUUUUGAUCGGAUUUUUAGAUCGGAGGUGAGCCAUACUAGCUAAUAAAUAGUUUAUGGCCCUCCGUAGUGUAAUUGGAAUUCCCUUUUAAGAAUUAAAAUCGGGAUGUUUCGUGCCAAAUGAAAUUUCAAAAUUGCAUGACAUUCGUUUAAUUAAUAUUUUUAUCCUUAGAAAUCAAAGAGUGCCAUUUAGCGAAUUUUCCAUGGCCCUCACAAAUUAAAAGAAGCAUAGUUUCUUUAGGCGCGUUAUUUAAUAAUAUUAUCUUCCUAAAUCGGGUGAGCAUUUAUGUGAUCCAAAUCCAAUAUGUUGCGGACCAGGGCUGCAUUUAUGUGACGUGUUUCAAGACGUAUUUUUGAUAACAUUGAAUGUCUCUUAAAAAUAUUAAUUGAACAAAAGUGGUUAUAAAGUUAAAAUUGCACGUAGGUCUAAAAAUUUUUAAAAUCAAGUACUAGGCCAAUUGUAGUAGUUGAGGACCGCGCUAGAACCACGGAACUUGGGAAUUCCGAACACCUUCACCCGAGUUAACAAAAUUCCUUAUCCAGAUUUCUGGUUUGCGGACCGUAAUACAGAGUAAAUCUUUUUUCGAUUCGGAAUUUGAACCGGUAACUUAGGACACCGUAAAUUAUCCCAAGUGACGACUCUAAUUCUUUAAUUGAAAUGAUUCUAUUUCGAUUGUCACUUUAAUUGGAAGAACUCCUUUAUGAUUUUCCAGGGGUGUAAGUAAAAAGGGUAGGUGUGACAAUAAUUUUGAACCCUUUUAUCUUAAAUUAUUUUGAACCUUCGUGCCACCCUUUCUUUCCAAUCCUGUCCAAAAGCUUACAUUAUAGUUCAAAGAAAGACCUUUCGACCAAUCAUUGAGGAUGCCAAAUCAAGCAUGCGGUAAAAGUAUGAUCUUCUAGCAUUAUGGGUAAUACCUUAUUCUCAGCAUAAAGAGAGAAAAUGAUAAAAUGAGAGAGUCUUAUCGGUAAAAACCCUCAUGGGCACUGUAAGGCGACGGUGAGUUGAGAAAAGAGCAAUAUGAGAGAGGCUUGAUGGUGAAAACCGUUCAGGGAACUAUAAGUCGUCUGAGGAUAGUGGAUCAAAUAGGACAAUUGGAGUACUGAAGAACAGUUUCAUAGCUUAGAGGCAUAACAGGAGUUGAAUAUUAGACUUGCUUAACAGAUUAGGUUACUUUAAUCCAAAUGCAUGUUAUAGUCAUUAGAGUUUGUAUCUAUAUCUAAAAAGUCUAUACUUGGUGAUUUUCUUGUUAGAUGUCAUCUCUUUCUGUUGUCCCCUUAACUCUGUUCUUCUUGCUUUGUUUAAGUUCUUUGGAGUCUGUUUUGUCAGAACAAGUAAAGAAAUAAUGUCAAAAUCUACUACCAGCUUUCCAAUUGCACAAGUCUGGCUAGCACAUCAAAGUGGCAUACGUCGGGAAAGAACAAUAUGCACACUGAGUUAGUAACAAUCAACAUGCUUUAGGAUUCAUGUGAAAUGCAAAGGUUUGGUAAAUGUCAAAUUCAUGAGCAAAAUGCAACAGAUAGAGGGUAUUGCGAUUGAAUAGAGAAUAGGUCUUUUUUGUGAUAAGGGUUGAAAGAAAACGGAUAGUCGGUAACAGUCAAGGUUGUCCAAGUUGAAAUCAAUGUUAUUUUGGAAAGUAUAGAAGUAGCUGCUCUCAAGGUCAAUGCCACAAACUAACCACCACGUUUUCAAAAUAACAAAAUUUUAUUCGUCUAAAAAAGGGGCAAGAAAAUUUGUUAAUCCACAGGGACUCUCCCAUGAAGAAGGCAUAACUUAGGGGGCAAGAAAUUCGGUUCAGAAUCCUCCAAGAAGAGAGCAUGGCUCAGGUAAGUUCAUUCUCGUCUUUUCAAGACCUUCAUGGAUAAUGAGAUUUAGUUUUCAAGUUUUUAGGACUCUUCUGGAUAAUGGAAUUUAGCUUUCAAAUUUUCAGGACCCUCAUAGAUAAUGAGACUUAGCUUUCAGGACCCUCAUGGAUAAUGUGAUUUAGUUUUAAGAUUUCAGGACAAUCAUGGGUAAUGGGAUUUAGUUUUUAAGUUUUCAGGACCAUCCUGGAUAAUGGUAUUUAAUUUGAAUUUUAGGACCCUCAAAGAUAAUGAGAUUUAAUUUUAGAAAUUUUCAGGACCCUCUUGGAUAAUGAGAUCUAGCUAAAAUUCAAGACCUUCAAAGAUAACAAGAGUUAGCGUAAGCUCUACCUUUAGGAAAUAUAAUUUAGAUUUAAACUUGUUACUCUUGAGCUGAGAUUUAAUUUGAACUUUUCAGGGCCCUUCUGGAUAAGGAGAUUUAGCGUUUAAAUUAUUAGAUCUCUUUUAGGUAACAUGAUUCGAUUAACUAUCACAGAUGUGCCCAGAUACAAAACUGGGACAGAAAAAUUUCUUUCGUUUUUCGUCUGUUUUGUUGUAAUGUCAGGCACCCACCUGGAUAACAAGGUAAUACAAUUCAAGUUAGGCAAUCAGGUGUCCACCUGGAUAACAAGGAAAUACAAUUCAGGAUUUUGGCAAUCAGGCACCUGCCUGGAUAACAAAGGAAUACAAUUCAUGUAUUUGGCAAUCAUGCACCCACCUAGAUAAUGAGGGAAUACAGUUCAAGUUUUGGCAAUCAAGCGCCCACAUGGAGAACAAGGGAAUACAGUUUAAGUUUUUGGCAAUCAGGUGCCCACCUAGAGAACAAGGGAAUACAGUUCAAUUUUUGGCAAUUAGAUGCCCACCUGGAGAACAAGGGAUUACAGUUCAAGUUUUGGCAAUCAAGCGCCCACAUGGAGAAUAAGGGAAUACAAUUCAAGUUUUAGCAAUCAGGCACCCACCUGGAGAAUAAGGGAAUAUAGUUCAAGUUUUGGCAAUCAGGCGCCCACCUGGAGAACAAGGGAAUACAGUUCAAGUUCUGCCAAUUAGACACCCACCUAGAGAACAAGAAAAUACAGUUCAACUUUUGACAAUCAGGCGCCCACCUGGAGAAAAAGGGAAUACAAAUCAAGUUUGGCAAUCAGGUACCCACCUGGAGAACAAGGGAAUACAAUUCAAGUUUUGAAAAGUAGGAGCCUAACAUGGAUAACAAGGUCAUAUAGUUUAAGUUUUGAAAAUCAGGCACCCACUUGGAGAACAAGGGAAUAUAAUUCAGGUUUGGCAAUCAAACACCCAUCCGGAGAAUAAUGAAAUACAGUUCAAGUUUUGGAAAUCAGGCGCCCACUUGGAUAACAAGGGAAUACAGUUCAAAUUUUGGAAAUUAGGCACCCACCCGGAGAACAAGAAAAUAUAGUUCAAGUUUUGGCAAUCAGGCGCCCACCUUGAGAACAAGGGAAAAUAGUUCAAGUUUUAGCAAUCAGGCACCCACCUGGAGAACAAGGAAACACAGUUCAAGUUUUUGGCAAUUAGGCAUCCACCUGGAGAAUAAGGGAACACAGUUCAAGUUUUUGGCAAUCAGGCGCGCACCUGGAGAACAAGGGAAUACAAUUCAAGUUUUUGGCAAUCAGGCACCCAUCUGGAGAAUAAGAAAAUACAUUUCAAGUUUUGGCAAUUUGGCACCCACCUAGAGAACAAAGGAAUACAGUUCAAGUUCUUGGCAAUCAGGAAUCCACCUGGAGAACAAGGAAAUACAGUUCAAGUUUUGGGAAUCAGAAACCCACCUGGAGAACAAGGGAACACAGUUCAAGUUUUUGGCAAUCAGGCACCCACCUGGAAAACAAGGGUGCACAGUUCAAGUUUUUGGAAAUCAGGCACCCACCUGAAAAACAAGGGAAUGCAAUUCAAGUUUUUUGCAAUCAAGCACUCACCCGAAGAACAAGGAAAUACAGUUCUAGCUUUGACAAUCAGGCACCCACCUAGAGAACAAGGAAAAGCAGUUCAAGAUUUUGGCAAUUAGGCACCUACCUGGAGAACAAGGGAACACAGUUCAAGUUUUUUGUAAUUAGGCGUCCAACUGGAGAAUAAGGGAAUACAUUUCAAGUUUUGGCAAUCAGGCGCCCACUUUGGGACUGAGGAAUUCAUUUCCGAGUUACUUUCAAUUCGCAAACUCAAGAAGUAUCAACAGCCCGCCUGAAGAACAGAGCCCAUUUUUCAGUUUCUAGUUGGAGAUCAAGUAAAGAUUCACAGAAGAUUCAAGAUGAGAAGUAGAUCGGAUCAUGUAUUUUUCUAGUACUUUUAAUGUAAAUAUUCCUUUAAUUUCGAUGCAAUGGCAGGAACCGCGGACUGGAACUUCAACAGCACUUUACUCAGCUCUCCAACUCGGUAUACUCCAUCACCUCAUUUACUUGUGAACUACACGUGGCCUGAUUCCUUCAUAGCCAAGGAUAUCUAGGCAGCUCGGAUACUAUGGCUCUGUCAUAUUCUCUUUUCUUUUAGUUUUUGUCUCUAUAAAUAAGGGUUGGGUCAAAUAAUCUAUCUAAUCGUCUUUUUCUGAAAAUACGUCGUAUUUCUAGUCAUAGAGGGGCAGUUGUAGAUAUGUAAUUUUUUAUCAUCCCUAAGAUUUUACACUUUUUCGAUUUUAGAUAUUUAGCUUAGGACUAAUACUGCUAUUUUACCUAGUUUUAAUUAUUUUUCUUUAUUUUAAGAACAAAAAUUUAAAAAUUACAAAAAUAGUUCCAUAUUUCUCUACUUAAUUCAUGUAUUAGAUAUUUUUAGAAAGAUAUACUUCUUUGCACUUAUUUUAUUUUAAUCUAAUCUUUAAAAAUACCAAAAAUAGUUUUAACUUUAAUUUGUAGUUUUAUUUUAAUAUAAUAGUUUAUUAAAAUCAAUUGAGAGUUAAUUUAUACCUUGUUAUAAGUAUAUAUAUAUAUAUAUAUAUAUAAAGCAAAUUAAAUUUUCAGCUCAUUUAGGUUGUCUAGCCCAUAGAAUUUGAACCCAAAAAAUAAUUGGCCCAAUUGAUCCACUAACCCUAACCUUGUCUUCUUCUUCCUUACAAAAAAGACUUACAAUACGGACAAGGGCAUCGGUUGCCCACCUUCUUCUUUAGGGAGAUGAGAAUCCAAAAACCCUAGCUGAACCCUAGGAAAGACCUAACCCUAGGCCCAGCCGAAACCCUUCUCCAAGCACACCCCAGAACCCCUGCUUCUGAACAACCAAACGACCCACCUCAUCUCUAGCCACCAAGUCGUUGGAAAACGCGUCUCACAACAGCCACCAUUAGCACCGCCAGCCUCUUACUUACCACCUAUCACCCAAAGCAACAACUAAAAAACUAACCUUCAGCACAACCACCCGUCUUCUCCCUCUCCAAUACCAUCGACACCGUCGGAUCUUCAUCACCGGCUGUCCGAAAAAUGAGAUCCAAACACCCCACUACUCCUCCUAACUUUUUUUAGCCAUAGCAGCUGCCCACCACCAACCCUCAACCGAUGAAUUCCCCUUCACCACAAUAACUAAUGAGCCUCUCUUCUGAACAACCAAGAAAAACCGCCCAAAGUCCACCCUAAGACGCUAGGAACACACAUACAUAGUCAUAAGUAGAAGGACGGGCAAGAUCGAAGGGGAAAAAAAUAAAAAAAAAAACUAGUUUUCUGCUUCUUAAAUCUAGAAAAAUAUGCCCCCGUCUAUGAUUUUUUAUCUUCUCAUGGAGUUGAAUUGAUUUCGAGAUUGGAGUUCCGUCAAGGUUGAUGUCGAUUCGAGUUUCCAUCCACGUUUCGUUACAUUUUGAGCUCAAAACAGUGAUACAAUUUUCUUUCAGCUAUAUUUGAGGUCUACUCUUCCCUUUCCUUAUUGUUCUUUUACUUAAUAUCAUGACAUUGAUAAUACCGUUAAUUUGUUGUUACUGUAUGUUUGUUAUUGAGAUGGAUUGGUCUGCCUGUUGUUUUCAUUAAAUUGGUGGUUGAAUUGUUUUUGUAGUAUUGGCAGCCUAAACUAAAAUGGGAUUACUAAGUAAGAACUCCACUUGGAUCUUGUUGACUUUGAAAUAGUGAACGGGGUCGCUGUGUUAGUUUUCAAGGGGAUGAGAAUCCUGUUAAUUGAAAUUAAAUAAAAUUUGGGUUUUGGUUGUAGUUUAUGCGUGAAAUCGGGCUUUAAAACUAAGUUUAGUUAUGCUUUAUUUGUUUGAAUCACUAGGAGUAUGUUUUAGGCCGACCACGCUCAGGUACGCAAGCUUUAGGAUUUUUGUUAUUUUGAGGUGAGAGGCCGUUCCCUUAGUUUAAUUUAUACGAGGAAUGCCAAAAGGGAUUUGAUAUAUUUUAUUCCGGAGAAUACCCCGUAGUAUUCUAUAAAUGAAGGCCAAAUAUAGAACGAUUCGAGUAAACAUACAAUAGUAUUCUAUUUUUUCUCUUAUUUUUAUUUUAUUAAGUGGGGACGACCUCGACCUUCUUGUGUGUUUUUUUUUUUGUAAUUAUUUUAACCCAACUUAAAUAUUUUAAAAUCUGGGUAGAUCAAGUAUGCAACCGUACUAGUUAUGAGACUUGGGGAGUUCAUAACACAUUCUUCCCGAGUCAAAUGAACCCCCUUACACGAAUCUCUUGUGCAGACUUAGUUUUGGAGUCCAAAGUGUUUUAAAAGGAAUAUCAUUUUUAAAAACAAAAUAGUGACCUGGCACACCAAAAUCAAAUGUCAGGUGGUGACUUUGAGUUAAUCCUUUUGAAUACAUUUUUUUGUCACGUUCUAAUUGAAAAUCCUUUCAAGAUUUAAAAAUCCUUUUAUUAAUAUAAGAGGAUUAAUUGGUGAAAAAAAUGGUGUGACACAUAGCACUGAAGGAAAACAUGACCAGGCUGAGGGAAGCAGAGCUUGUAUGGAAUGUUGUUAUGUUGUCAAGACAAAGAGUGAUUAUUUGUCACGACCCCAAACCGGCCAGGUCGUGAUGGCGCCUCUUAUGAAGACGAGGGCAGCCAAUACAACACUCACAUUAACCUCUUAAGCGUUAAGAGUCAUUUUUAAAAAUUAAACAAUAUUUCAUAAAUACAAAUCUGAAUAAAAUGCAGAAAUAACAUACAAGCCUGACAUCGGGGUGUCACUAGUCAUGAGCAUCUAUUAAGGUCUGAAUAUAAAAAAAAAGUUUAAGAUAAUGCUGAGCACAGUAAUAGCAAUGUGAGGAAGGAAGCGGUACUGCGAACGUCAUGCAGCCACCUGCUGACUCUGAUGACUCCGCGUUUGAGAAAAUCAACACCCGCUAUUGGGUUUUGAUAUAGCUGUAUUUGCACAUGAGGUACAGAGAGUAAUGUGAGUACUCCAACUAAAUUAGUAAUGAGUAAAUAAAGACUAAGCAGUAGGAAACAAUGAGUCCAUAUUCUAAUUAGGCUCAAUAAGCACAACAGGCUUCCAAAUCAUAAUACGAGUCAACCUUCCCUUUUAAAAUCCAGCUUAUGGUAACAAUCAUUUUUGCAGCACUUUCCAGCAAUCUCGGUGGGGUUCAAUUCCAUUUAAAAUGAUAAUAGAGAUUAAAAACAUAAUAGGCCCCUCGGGCAAAACUUAGUUCGUAAAAUAGCCCCUCGGGCAAAAAAAUAAUCAUAAACACUUCAUAACUUGAAAUCUCGGUGGAAAUAGCCAAAUGCCAAAUUAGUUAUUAAUUUAUGAACAUCUUCUAAAACCCAGUAUAAAUAGAAGUUGUUUUAAAAUAUUUGUUCAACUUUUCGACAGAGGCUCAAUAUAAGGAUGAGUGAAAACAGUCAAUAUCAACAUAUUUGAUAGAAACUCGCAUUUAUGAGGAGUGAAAUCAAUAAGUUCAUAAACAGGCCUUUCAAGAAAAACGCCAUUCAUGUGCAUGUAUAUAUCUAUCUCCCUUCGAGCUAGCCACCUUGUCACUCGUGACUCUUCUCUUACCAAACGAUACUCGCACUCAGCAUUCACGCUCAAUAAGUACCAUAUAGUAACUGCUGCAGCGUAUAGCUCGAUCCGUAUAUCGCUGUGACAUGUAGCCUGAUCCAUAUAUUUCGUCAACAAUGCUAACUAGGGUGUGCAGACUACGGGAGGGGCCCCUUAUGGCCCAAGCGCAAAAUUGCUGCGGCGUGCAGCCCGAUCCAACAUAUCGCUGCGGCGUGCUGCCCGAUCCAACAUAUUGUUCUGGCGUGCAGCCCCAUCCAUAUAAGUAUUGGUGCGGCGUGUAGCCAGAUCAGUAUAUAUAUAUAUAUAUUGCUACAGCAUGUAGCCCGAUCUAUGGAUAUAUGAUCCUCACAACUAGGCCCUCGGCCUUUCUCUUUCAUUAACCUCACCAUCGAACUCUCAGUCUAUUUCUGUCGUCAAUCUCACCAUCAGACCCUCGGUCUAUCUUAGUAAAGUAGGGAACUCAGCCCAAAACAGUUCUCACACUUUUAAAAGUUUUGCUAUAAAAUAUUUGAGUAAUAACAGAUAAAAACAUGAUUGAGGAUAUGCUUUCAAACAAAUAUAGUAAGGAAAGGUACUAAAAAUGCCCCUAAGGGUCUCAAAAGGGCGGCACAAGGCCCCAAACAUGGCAUACAACCCAAAAUAUAGUAACAUUAAACAAUUAAAUAUCAAUUAUGCAUGAAAUAAUCGUUCAGAAUGGACUAGGUUACAAUCCCUACCGGUGCUAUACCCCAUGCUUGUUAUAUAUCAUGUAAGUCACCUCAAAGUAACACAAUGAUGUGUAAUCCAAGGUUUCAUACACUCAGGACAAUAUUUACAAUCAUUACUUACCUCGAAUUAGCUAAAGCUCGAGCUUGCUAUGCCCUUGCCUCUUAAAUCGGCCUCCUCGCGCGUCGAAUUUGACCAAAAACACAACGAAUACAUCACUAUAUGCCAAAGAAAUGAUACCCAAUCAAAAACAAUCAAAAAAUGUAAAAAAUCCCGAAAUUGGUAAAACUCGAGCCCCUGUGUCACUUCUCAAAACUCAGAAAUUUUUAAAUGGCUGGGUUCCUUAUCUUUCCACGAGUCUAUACAUAUCAAGAACUCCUAAAUCCUAGCUCAAAUGACCGAUCAAAACCCAAUUUGAAAUAUAAAAACUCAAACCCUAGUUCUUCCUCUUUUUGCAAAGCUUUUAUAAAUUUCCAGGUUAAUCCCACAAUUAAAUCAUGUUUUUAGUUCAUAGAACUUACCCCCAAUCAAUACUCUUCGAAAUCCCUCUUCAAUUCCUCCCAAAUAGUCCUCAAGGUGCUCAAAAAUGGUGGAAAAUGACUUAGGUUUGCGGAACAAAAUGUCUUAUAACUUAUGCCUAACUUUGAAAUUCCUUCUUCACGAUCGCGGCCAAGGCCUCGCGAUCGCGAAGGGAAAAAUUCCAAGGCCCCAAAAACGUUCUAUGCGAAUGCGACCAAACACUGCGAACGCGAUACAUAAAUACCCAGAUCUAUGCGAACGCGAGACUCUAAUGCGAACACGAAGGGUAAUUUCCACUGGACUUAUACGCGAACGCGAAGCACAACCAUCCGGCCUUCUGCAAAUGCAAACCCACAGACGCGAACACAAAGAGCAAAACAUCUAUCUUCAAAAUUUCUUCUACAUGAUCGCGACUCAGCCUACGCUAUCGCGAAGGCUAAAAACUCUACAACAUCAGAACUAACCAUGUGCAGCAUUUUCCAACUCUAAACUCCCCGUUAGCCAUCCGAAAUCACCCUGAGGCCCCCGAAACCUCAACUAAUAGCAUUAACACAUCCUAAAACAUCAUCCAAACUCGUUCUAAUUAUAUUUACACCUCAAACAAUGCCAAAACCAUCAAAUUAUAUCAAAUUCAAGCCUAAGUUCUUCUAAAACUUCCGAAGCACGCAUUUGAUCAAAAACCCGACCAAAUCACCUUCGUAUGACCUAAAAUUUUGCGCACAUAUCCCAAAUCACAUAACGAAGCUACAAAAACUUUUGGAAUUCCAUUCCGACCCCCAGAUCAAAAUCUCACCUAUCAACUAAUAAUUGCCAAAAUGCUAACUUCGCCAAUUCAAGCCUAAUUCUACACCGGACCUCCAAAACCGAAUUCCGUUCACACUCCAAAGUCAUAAAUCAACUAAUGAAGCUAACCAAAUCAUAAGAAUUCUGAUUCGAGCUCAUAUACGAUAAUUUAAAUCUUGGUCAAACCUUUAAAAUUUUAAGCUUUAAAUUGAGAAUUAUUCUUAAAAAUUCAUUCCAAAUUUUCAUGAAAACCAAAACCAACGAGCUACAUGACUCAUAAUACAUUACACGGGGUAAGUCAUGCUGGAGAACUAGCGAUUAAAGUGAAAAAGCUCAAAACGACCAGUCGGUCGUUACAUUCUCCCUCACUUAAACACAUGUUCGUCCUCGAACGUAUUUAGAGUUGUUCUAGAAGCCAACCAAUAGCUGAAUAACUUUACUAUGCAUAUACCCGGGGGUGAUCCCAUGUCACCCUAUCUCAUAUAGGUCCGAUAACACAUUAUAACUGAAAUUACACAACAUAGUCUAGCCCAUAAAUCAUAGAACCACAUUUUCCACUUCUAAAACCAUCAAUACGAUUAAAAUCUCACACCUAUGCUCUAAAUAGGUCCUAACCAGCUGUAAUAACCCCUGCCUGCAACUUCAAGUGCAAUUAUCUAAUACACCACGUAAGUCAAACACAUGUAGCGAUAACUUCCACUCACAACAGCUGCACACAACACCCGAAUAUCGGUAGAAAACCUCUUAUCAACUAAAGUCUCAUUCCAACACUUCCAUAUACUGCCAAUGAUAAAUGAAACAUACAAUAAACCGUAACCAUUUCUCAUAUUAGCUAUCUAUAAGGUUACUUUUCCAUUGGCAAGGACCAUAGCAAAUUUCUGAACUGAACCUCGAUAUUCAUCUAUCAAACAUGCUGAAAUCAAAUUUGUUUGCAUUCAUUUAGACCCAAAAAAUAUAAUCUAAUUCAAUACCAUCACUCUAGUGACAUGACACAUCAAGACAGGCUAAAACCACAACUUGCGCACUCCACGCACCAAUAAGCAUCAAUCUGAAUAUACUUACAUCAUGAAAUUGACUCAAAUGAAAAAGCUAUACCUCAAGCUCACCAAUACCAUCACAACACAUGGCUGAGAAUCCGUCUUUCAUCAUAGGAAUAGAACACACUAAUCUAACCCGCAAGGUCAUAUUUCCAUAUAGCUUAGCCAUCAUGCGCGAUCCUAUUCAAACACUGCUAAACAUAGAAUACCUCAAGUCACUAUGCUCGAAAUAAAAAACCACGCACAAUUUGAUGUCUGGAACCAAGGCAAAUUAUUACACCCAUGGUAAAACAAAUAACGUAUACCACUCAACCCAAUAGGACACAACCGAUAUGCCAUUCAGGGAACAACACAAAAUUACUCUUCCCGCUCGACUUCCACUAUGAGACCCCAAAUGCACCGCACCAUAUGUGCCCAUAAUAAACAAAGUAUAACGUCUCACAACACCAAAAGAUAAUCCAUAAACCUCCCCAAAUUACUAACAAGCUUAACAAUCAAAUCAACACAUCCCCUAUUAAUCCAAUUCGAAGUCAAUAAAACCAUCUCGAUGCAGGACACAUAUCCGCAUAGGUCCACCAAUGGACCACACAUCAACUCCACUUACAUACAAUAGGUAAAUAAUCCUUCGAAGGUCCAUAAUGACGGAAUCAUAGCACAUACUAAUAACUAACUAUCUUACCCACAUUUUUCCAUCCACAUACAAAAGCCAACCGCCAUAUGAGAACUUCCAGUCUCCAAGUCCAUAAAACAUACGAAUUACCACAUCUGAUCCCAUUUCUGCCACUCGCAUAUAUAACUCACAUCUAGUACUUAGUCUCCAAGUCUAUAAAACACACAAAGUACCAUAUCUGAUCCCAUUUCCGCCACUCGCAUAUAUAACUCACAUCUAGUACUCAAUCAUCCCAUGAGAUAUGCUCUAAUAAAAUACACGUCCCCAAACACGAUAGAAAUAACUAAGAGCUCUCCCAAUUCCGUUUGAACAACUAAACCGCCAAGACUAAAUCCUUCUAACUAGACCAAGCUAAUCAAGCCAUCAAAACCCAAGAGCAUUGCUGCGAAAUACCUGUACGAAUCCAUUACCUUCAACACACACAAAGAUUUAAUCAUAUCCUUACCAAACCGAUCUGGUACUAUCAAGAUACUCCAUCCAUCUAAAUUUCCUUCUGAUUCAUCUUCAACUUGAUAUUCCUUCUUGAUGUAGCACCACAAUUCCUCAAUCUAGUUGGAUAUACUGAUGCUGAUUAUGCCGGUUUCCUUGUGGAUAGGAAAAACACAUCAGGUAUGGCUCACUUUCUUGGUUCAUGUCUUGUAUCAUGGGCGACAAAAAAGCAAAAAUGAGUGGCUUUAUCCACUGCCGAGACUGAAUAUGUUGUUGCUGCAUCUUGUUGUGCUCAAUUGUUAUGGAUCAAACAGAAGAUGGUAGAUUUUGGAAUUGAAGUUGGCUGCAUUUAUAUAUCCUGUGAUAACACUAGUGCUAUAAGUAUGACAAAGAAGCAUGUUCAUCAUAAGAGGACUAAACACAUAGAUGGUAGACACUACUUCUUAAGAGAUAACUAUGAGAAAUGAUUGAUCUCCAUUAAAUUCGGUGCUACUAAUAAGCAAAUUACAGACACUACUUCCGAUAUACCUGUAUUUGCAAACGAGGUACAUGGAGUAAUGUGAGUCAUCCAACCCAGUAAGUAAUAAGAGUAAAUAAAUACUGAGCAGUAGGAAACAAUGAGUCUAUAUUCUCAUAAGGCUCAAUAAGCACAACAGGCUUUCGAAUCAUAAUAUGAGUCAACCUUCCCAUUUAAAAUCCAGCUUAUUGUAACAAUCAUUUUUGCAGCACUUUCCAACAGUCUCGAUAGGAUUCAAUGACAUUUAAAAUGAUAAUAGAGAUUAAAACCAUAAUAGGCCCCUCGGGCAAAACAUAGUUCGUAAAAUAGCCCCUCGGGCAAAAAAAUAAUCAUAAACACUUCAUAACUUGAAAUCUCGGUGGAAAUAGCCAACUUCCAAAUUAAUGAUUAAUUUCUGAACAUCUCGUAAAACCCAGUAUAAAUAAAAGUUGUUUUAAUAUAUUUGUUCACCUUUUCGAGAGAGGCUCAAUAUAAGAAUGAGUGAAGACAGUCAAUAUCAACAUAUUUGAUAGAAACUCGGAUUUACGAGGAGUGAAAUCAAUAAGUUCAUAAACAGGCCUUUCAGGAAAAAUGCCACUCAUGUGCAUAUAUAUGUCUAUCGCCCUUCGAGCUAGCCACCCUGUCACUCAUGACUCAUCUCUUACCAAACGAUACUCGCACUCAGCAUUCAAGUUCAAUAGGUACCAUAUAGUAACCGUUGCGGCGUGUAGCCCGAUCCAUAUAUUGCUCUAACAUGCAGUCUGGUCCAUAUAUCUCGUUGACAUCACUAACUCGGGGUGUACAGACUCCAGGAGGGGCCUCUUAUGGCCCAAUCGCAAUAUUGUUGCGGCGUGCAGCCCGAUCCAACAUAUUGUUGCGGCGUGCAGCCCGAUCCAUAUAAGUAUUGCUGUGGCGUGCGGCCUUAUCCGUAUACAUAUAUUUAUAUAUGCUGCGGCGUGCAUCCCGAUCGUACACACACCCACACAUAUACACAGACACAGACACAGACACAGACACACGCACACACACACACAUAUAUAUAUAUAUAUAUAUAUAUAUAUAUAUAUAUUGCUACAACAUAUAGCCCGGUCUAUGGAUAUAUAAUCCUCACAACUAGGCCCUCUGCCUUUCUCAGUCAUUAACCUCACCAAAUCGAACUCUUAGUCUAUCUCAGUCGUCAAUCUUACCAUCAGAACCUUGGUCUAUCUUAGUAAACCAGGGAACUCAGCCCAAAAGCGUUUUCACACUUUUUAAAAUUUUUGCUAUAAAGCCAAAUUUGAGUAAUAACAGAUAAAAUUAUGACUGAGGAUAUGCUUUCAAACAAAUAUUGUAAAGAAAAAUAGUAAAAAUGCCCCUAAGGGUCUCAACAAGGUGGCACAAGGCCCCAAACAUGGCAUACAACCCAAAAUAUAGUAACAUCAAACAAUUAACUCUCAAUUAUGCAUGAAAAUAAUCGUUCGGGAUGUACUAGGUUACAAUCCCUAGCGGUGCUCUACCCCACGCUUGUUAUCUAGCGUGUAAGUCGCCUCAAAGUAACACAACGAUGUGUAAUCGGGGGUAUCAAACCCUCAAGACAAUAUUUACAAUCACUACUUACCUCAAAUCGGCUAAAGCUCUAGCUUUCUAUGCCUUUUCCUCUCAAAUCGGCCUCCUCGCGCGUCGAAUUUUAGCUAAACCACAACGAAUACAUCACAAUAUGCCAAAGAAAUGAUACCCAAUCGAAAACAAUCGAAAAAUGUCAUAAAUCCCGAAAUUGGUAAAACUCGAGCCCCGAUCCCACUUCUCAAAACUCAUAAAUUUUCACAUCACCGGGUUCCCUAUCUCUCCACGAGUCUAUACAUAUUAAGAACUCCUAAAUCCGAGCUCAAAUGAACCAUCAAAAUCCAAUUUGAAAUAUAAAAACUCAGACACUAGUUCUUCCUCUUUUUGCCAAAUUUGUUUGAAUUUCCAGGUUAAUCCCACAGUUAAAUCAUGUUUUUAGUUCAUAGAACUUACCUCUAAUCAAUCUUCUUUGAAAUCCCUCUUCAAUUCCUCCCAAAUAGUCCUCAAGGUGCUAAAAAUGGUGGAAAAUGACUUAGGUUCACGGAACAAAAUGUCUUAUAACUUCUGCCCAGCUCUGCAAUUCCUUCAUCGCGAUCGCGGCUAAGGCCUCGUGAUCGCGAAGGGCAAAAUUCCAAGGCUCCAAACACGUUCUAUGCGAAUGCGACCAAGCACUGAGAACGCGAUACACAAAUUCCCAGAUAAAUGCGAACGCGAGAUUCUAAUGCGAUUACGAAGGGUAAUUUCCACUGGAUAUAUCUGCGAACGCGAAGCACAACCAUCUGGCCUUCUGCAAAUGCAAACCCACAGACGCGAACACAAAGAGCAAAACACCUAUCUUUAAAAUUUCUUCUAUGUGAUCGUGACACAACCUACGCGAUCGCGAAGGCUAAAAACUCUGCUACAUUAGAACUAACCAUGUACAACAUUUUCCAAUUCUAAACUCCCCGUUAGCCAUCUGAAAUCACCUGAGGCCCCCGGGACCUCAACCAAAAGCAUCAACACAUCCUAACACAUCAUCCAAAAUCGUUCUAAUCAUUAAAACACCUCAAAAAAUGCCAAAAACCAUCGAAUUAUAUCAAAUUCAAGCAUAAGUUCUUCUAAUACUUCUGAAGCACGCAUUUGAUCAAAAACCCGACCAAAUCUCCUUUGUAUGACCUGAAAUUUUGCACACACAUCCCAAAUCACAUAACAGAGCUACAACAACUUUUGGAAUUCCAUUCCGACCCUCAGAUCAAAAUCUCACCUAUCAACCAGUAAUUGCCAAAAUGCUAACUUCGCUAAUUCAAGCCUAAUUCUACACCGGACCUCCAAAACCGAAUUCCGAUCACACUCCUAAGUCAUAAAUCACCUAAUGAAGCUACCCAAAUCAUAAGAAUUCUGAUUUGAUCUCAUAUACGAAUAAUUUAAAUCUUGGUCAAACCUUUCAAAUUUUAAGCUUUAAAUUGAGAAUUAUUCUUUCAAAUUCAUUCCAAAUUUUCCUGAAAACCAAAACCAAUAAGCUACAUCACUCAUAAUACAUUACAAGGGGCAAGUCAUGCCCGAGAACUAGGGAUUAAAGUGAAAAAGCUCAAAAUGACCAGUUGCUCGUUACAUCCUCCCCCACUUAAACAAAUGUUCGUCCUCGAACGUAUUCAGAGUUAUUCUAGAAGCCAACCAAUAGCUGAAUAACUUUACUAUGCAUAUACCCAGGGGUGAUCCCACGUCACCCUAUCUCAUAUAGGUCCGAUAAUACAUUUUAACUGAAAUUACACAACCUAGUCUUGCCCAUAAAUAGAACCACAUUUCUCAAUUCUGAAACCAACAAUACGAUUAAAAUCUCACCAUAUACUCUGAAUAGACCCUAAUCAGCUGUAAUAACCCCUGCCUGCAACUUCAAGUGCAAUUAUCUGAUGCACCAUGUAACUCAAACACAUGUAGCGAUAACUUACAUUCACAACAGCUGCAUACAACACCCGAAUAUCGGUAGAAAAUCUCUUAUCAACUAAAGUCUCAUUCCAACACUUCCAUAUGCUGCCAAUGAUAAAUGAAACAUACAGUAAACUGUAACCAUUUCUCAUAUCAGCUAUCCAUAAGGUUACUUUUCCCUUGGCAAGGACCAUUGCAAGUUUCUGAACUAAACCUCGAUAUUCAUCCAUCAAACCUGCUGAAAUCGAAUUUGUUUGGAUUCAUUAUAGACCCAAACAAUCUAAUCUAAUUCAAUACCAUCACUUUAGUGACAUGACACAUCAAGACAGGCUAAAACUACAACUUGCGCAGUCCACGCACCAAUAAUCAACAAUCUUGAUAUACUUACAUCAUGAAACUGACUCAAAUGAAAAAGAUAUACCUCAAUCUCACCAGUACCAUCACAACACAUGGCUGAGAAUCCGUCUUUCAUCAUAGGAAUAGACCACACUAAUCUAACCCGCAAGGUCAUAUUUCCAUAUAGCUUCGCCAUCACGCGCGAUCCUAUCCAAACACUGCUCCACAUGGAAUACCUCAAGUCACUAUGCUCGAAAUUGAAAACCACGCACAAUUUGAUGUUUGGAACCAAGGCAAAUUAUUACACCCAUGGUAAAACAAAUAACGUAUACCACUCAACCCAAUAGGACACAACCGAUAUGCCAUUCAGGGAACAACACAAAAUUACUCUUCCCGCUCGACUUCCACUAUGAGACCCAAAAUGCACCGCACCAUAUGUGCCCAUAAUCAACAAACUAUAACGUCUCACAACACUGAAAGAUAACUCAUAGACCUCCCCAAAUUACUAAUAAGCUUAACAAUCAAAUCCCUCAAUAAUCCAAUUCGAAGUCAAUAAAACCAUCUCGAUGCAGGACACAUAUCCGCAUAGGUCCACCAGUGGACCACACAUCAACUCCAGUUACACACAAUAGAUAAAUAAUCCUUCGAAGGUCUACAAUGAAUGAAUCAUAGAACAUACUAAUAACUGACUAUCUUACCCACAUUUUGCCAUCCACAACCACAAGCCAUCCCGCAUAUGAGAACUUCCAGUCUCCAAGUAUAUAAAACAUACAAAUUACCAUAUCUGAUCCCAUUUCCACCACUCGCAUAUAUAACUCACAUCUAGUACUCAUUCAUCCCGUGAGAUAUGCUCUAAAAAAAUACACGUCCCCAAACACGAUAGAAAUAACUAAGAGCUCUCCCAAUUCUAUUAGCCCUACUAAACCGCCAAGACUGAAUCCUUCUAACUAGAUCAAGCUAAUCAAGCCGUCAACACCCAAGAGCAUUGCUGCGAAAUGCCUUUACGAAUCCAUUACCUUGAACACACGCAAAGAUUUAAUCAUAUCCUUACCAUACCGAUUCGGUACUAUCAAGCUACGCCAUCCAUCUAAAUUUCCUUCUGAUUCAUCUUAAACUUGAUAUUCCUUCUUGAUGUAGCACCACAAUUCCUCAAUCUAGUUGGAUAUACUGAUGCUGAUUAUGCCGGUUUCCUUGUGGAUAGGAAAAACACAUCAGGUAUGGCUCACUUUCUUGGUUCAUGUCUUGUAUCAUGGGCGACAAAAAAGCAAAAAUGAGUGGCUUUAUCCACUGCCGAGACUGAAUAUGUUGUUGCUGCAUCUUGUUGUGCUCUACAAAAAAGCAAAAUUGAGUGGCUUUAUCCACUGCCGAGACUGAAUAUGUUGUUGCUGCAUCUUGUUGUGCUUAAUUGUUAUGGAUCAAACAGAAGAUGGUAGAGUUUUACAUUGAAGUUGGUUGCAUUUCUAUAUCUUGUGAUAACACUAGUGCUAUAAGUAUGACAAAUAAGUAUGUUCAUCAUAAGAGGACUAAACACAUAUAUGUUAGACACUACUUCUUAAGAGAUAACUAUGAGAAAGGAUUGAUCUCCAUAGAAUUCGGUGCUACUGAUAAGCAAAUUACAGACACUACUUCUUAUAUACCUGUAUUUGCACACGAAGUACAUGGAGUAAUGUGAGUACUCCAACCCAGUAAGUAAUAAGAGUAAAUAAAUACUGAGCAGUAGGAAACAAUGAGUAUAUAUUCUCAUAAGGCUCAAUAAGCACAACAGGCUUUCAAAUCAUAAUAUGAGUCAACCUUCCCUUUUUAAAAUCCAGCUUAUUGUAACAAUAAUUUUUGCAGCACUUUCCAACAGUCUCGGUAGGGUUCAAUGCCAUUUAAAAUGACAAUAGAGAUUAAAACCAUAAUAGGCCCCUCGGGCAAAAUAUGGUUCGCAAAAUAGCCCCUCGGGCCAAACAAUAAUCAUAAACACUUCAUACUUGAAAUCUCGGUGGAAAUAGCCAAAUGCCAAAUUAAUGAUUAAUUUCUGAACAUCUCGUAAAACCCAGUAUAAAUAAAAUUUGUUUUAAAAUAUUUGUUCACCUUUUCGAGAGAGGCUCAAUAUAAGAAUGAGUGAAAACAGUCAAUAUCUACAUAUUUGAUAGAAACUCGCAUUUACGAGGAGUGAAAUCAAUAAUAUCAUAAACAGGCCUUUCAGGAAAAAUGCCACUCAUGUGCAUAUAUAUAUAUAUAUAUAUAUAUAUAUAUAUAUAUAUAUAUAUAUAUAUAUAUAUAUAUAUAUAUAUAUAUAUAUAUAUAUAUAUAUAUNNNNNNNNNNNNNNNNNNNNNNNNNNNNNNNNNNNNNNNNNNNNNNNNNNNNNNNNNNNNNNUAUAUAUAUAUAUAUAUAUAUAUUUGUAUAUAUAUCUAUAUAUAUAUCUAUUGCCCUUCGAGCUAGCCACUCUGUCACUCGUGACUCAUCUGUUACCAAACGAUACUCGCACUCAGCAUUCAAGCUCAACUGGUAUAGUAAUUUUUGCUUAAUAUCUAGGGAAGCCAAAUUGAUCAUUCAAAAUCAUAAUUUCAGGUUGAUUAGAACUCUAAUUGACAAUUGCAAAAGGCUACCUUCACUUAUUAAAUGUGUAUUUUUCUUUAAAUACCCAUCAACUUUCCUGCCUUCAUCAUAAUUUUAAACCGUCAAAUUUUUUUCUUAAAUUUCAAUUGCCCUCCUCUCAAAAAUCCCAAAUUCUCAUAAGAAACCUAACAAUCAUGUCUAUCCCACAAGACAAUCAUGGAACUCUUCCACCACCAUCUUCUUCUAAUUCAUCCUCAACUACUCCACCCAGUGCAUCUCGAAAACCUAGACUACGAAGACUGAAAAUGCUUGCUUGCAAGACUGUAGCAUCUGGGACUCUGAGGAAGGCUUUAAAUGAAAGGUUGAAAUCAAGCCAAGUGAAAGAAAACCAAGCUCCAAAUCCCAAAUCUAGCUCUGAGUCUUAACCCUAUCAAUCCGCUACUGAGGAGGAAGGACAUGGAUCUUCCGACUCUGAAAAGAUUUAAGAAUCUCCUUCUGAGGCAAGUUCAUAUGUGAUUGGAAACCUAGAGACUGGGUUUGUUCUGGUUGGUCCAAUUAGGGAUGUUGAAGUGCCUGAGUAACAUAGGAUUGGAGGUAAAAGAAUUUUGAAAAAGAAAAAGAGAGAGGGUGUAUAUGGUGAAGAAAGGGGAAUUGGGAAAGGUGUAGUGCCUGCUAUCUGUAGGGUUUAAUAUGAAAGGGUAGAGGAGAGUGGCAUGAAGCUAGGGGGAAGUAGUUCUGAGGAAGCUGGUGAGGGGUUGGUUCAUCUGAGCACACAGAGAGACGAACCUGUUCAAUCUAUUGAAGAGACCCUACUUGAUCUACUGAAAAAGGUUGGGGCAAGCUAUGAUCCAAAGAAACGCAGAACUCCCAUAACAAAAGCCCUAAAUGUUCCUAAACCUUCGAAUAAAAGAAAGGCUUCAUCCCCAAUACCUACUGCCUCCUUAUUGCCAAAGGGUAGAGCCACAAGAAGCAAGGUGAAACAGAGUGAAGCUGAUCUACAAAGGGCCUUAGAAGAAAGUAAGAAAAAGAGAAAAGAUAAAGUAAAGGGAAAGACUGCAGAAUCCUCAGAGGCUGUUGAGGAAGAAGAUAUGGAACUAGUCCAUCAAGAAAGGGGUACAACAGUGGAGGUUCCUACACCCAACCCUAAAAAUACCAAGACCUCUUCCAAGAAGUUUUCCUCUGUGCCAGUGAAUGAUGAACCCACACUAGCCAAGAGGACAAGAUCCGCAGUAAAAACCAAACAAUCAAAAGUUUCUGAUGAUGAUGACUAUAGUGGAGAAGAAGAAGAAAAUGAUUAUGAGAAGGAACAAGACAAGCUUUCCAUCUUUGGCAGAAGAAAUAUAUUAAAGGGCAGACUGUUGAAGGACCUGGUAGAACUAGGAAUGAUGAGAUUGGUGGAUGCCUUAGCCGCUUAGGGAUGGAAGGACAUGGUCUUUCAGAUGGAUGGUAGGCUAGCCAGAAAUGAGCUGAUUGAGUUUACCAUUGCUGCUGUUAAGGAUGGAGAUAUUAGUAGCCUUGUAAAAGGAGUCCAAGUGCAGUUUGAUAUAGAGAAACUGGGAGAGAUCCUUGACAUACCUUUUAUAGGGUUUGAUAUACCUGUAUUUGCACACGAGGUACAUGGAGUAAUGUGAGUACUCCAACCCAGUAAGUAAUAAGAGUAAAUAAAGACUGAGCAGUAGGAAACAAUGAGUCCAUAUUCUCAUUAGGCUUAAUUAGCACAACAUGCUUUCAAAUCAUAAUACGAGUCAACCUUCUCUUUUAAAAUCCAGCUUAUAAUAACAAUCAUUUUUCCAGCACUUUCCAGCAGUCUCGGUAGGGUUCAAUGCCAUUUAAAAUGAUAAUAGAGAUUAAAACUAUAAUAGGCCUCUUGCGCAAAACAUAGUUUGUA
rnacentral:lncRNA from 1 species